UGCUGCCUACAGAUCAAGGUGUAGAACUCCCAGCUCCUUCUUCAGCACCAUGUUGGCCUGCAGCUGCCAGACUUCCUGCUGUGUUGAAAAUGGACUAAAUCUCUGAAACUUACUAGAAUCUCCAGACAUGGCUGCUUCUGAGAGGUCUCUAGCACAUGGGGCAUGACACCUACUUGCCAUGGGCUAAACAGGAACAGAGAGUCCAGAGUCGUUAGACUCGGGUCAUCAGACUUGGUAGCAAGUACCCUUGCCCAGUGGAGCCAUCUUGCUGGACUCAGAGUGGGCCCUGGUACAGGCAUGAAGGUAGGAGUGGAUAUCCCUUUUGCUGGACUUCAGCCUCGUUGUUAGUAAUUAAGAGUGCAGAUUCUGAAGCCAGAAUGCCUGGACUUGAAUCCCUAGCUUUGCCAGCUACAACUCUGUGUUCUUGGCCAUGGUGACUGACCUCAGUUUCCUGCUCUGUAAAACCAGACGAGAACAAUACUGCUUACCUCAGAGCGGUGGCUACACAGUGCUUAGAACAGCACUGAGGCUCAGGAAGUCUGAGGAGUUCAGCGAUUAUCAGUCACUGCGACUGUAACCCUCCACAAGGGAGGAAAGGGGCCUUUCUGUAUUUAUGCACUUGUUCCUCCACCGCUGGUCUCCAGAUAAUAACCCUCUGUUCCCAUUCUACUUCUUUGUGCGUCUCUACAACUCUUCAGUCUCCCCAAUUACACUCUUUUGAAGACACUCAUUCUUAAUGGUUAAUUAUUCCAAUUUUCCCAUAGCCAAGGCCUCUCGCUACUUGUGUUCCUCCUCUUACCCCACGAGGUUUCAGUAUUCUGGGGCCCACACAGUCUGCUCUGUGCGCCCAGGCUCUGGCUGGGAGCCCACCUGAACAAAGCAUCGCUCAGUACCCUCUGUCCCUCCUCUGCACUCCCAGAGCACUUCUCACCCAGACACGAAGACGCUUUUAGGUAGGUCAGAGGGGGCUAUUCAUUUUAUACAGGCCCAACUUUGUCCCCAUUCCCAGCCACUCAGCCAGCAGUGAGACCCAAGCAUUUCUCUGAGUGGUGGGCAGACACUGGGCCCUGACAGACUGCAGAAGGAAUCAAGCAGUCAUUAAGAAGGCGGCCCAGGAUUCUUUCACUUACCGUUUGCUAUGUUAUAAACUACCUAGAGCUGAGAGGUGGUGGCAGACGAUUUUAACCCCAGCACUUGUGAGACAGAAGUAGGCAGAUCUCUGAGU